rnacentral:rRNA from 1 species
UACGUAGGGGGCAAGCGUUGUCCGGAUGUAUUGGGCGUAAAGCGCUCGCAGGUGGUUCGAUGCGUCGUGCGUGAAAGACCCCGGCUCAACUGGGGAGGGUCGUGCGAUACGGUCGAACUGGAGGCCAGUAGGGGGAUGCGGAAUUCCGGGUGUAGUGGUGGAAUGCGUAGAGAUCCGGAGGAACACCAGCGGCGAAGGCGGCAUCCUGGACUGGUCCUGACACUCAGGAGCGAAAGCGUGGGGAGCGAUCCGG